GGAGUUAGCCGGUGCUUCUUCUGUGAGUGAUGUCCUUCCUGCCGGCUAUUAACCCGCAGGCCUUCUUCCUCACUGAAAGUGCUUUACAACCCGAAGGCCUUCUUCACACACGCGGCAUGGCUGGAUCAGGGUUGCCCCCAUUGUCCAAUAUUCCCCACUGCUGCCUCCCGUAGGAGUCUGGGCCGUGUCUCAGUCCCAGUGUGGCUGAUCAUCCUCUCAGACCAGCUACGGAUCGUCGCCUUGGUGAGCCGUUACCUCACCAACCAGCUAAUCCGACAUAGGCUCAUCCGAUAGCGCGAGGCCCGAAGGUCCCCCGCUUUCCCCCGUAGGGCGUAUGCGGUAUUAGCCUGGGUUUCCCCAGGUUAUCCCCCACUACCGGGCAGAUUCCUAUGCAUUACUCACCCGUCCGCCGCUCGCCACCAGGGAGCAAGCUCCCCGUGCUGCCGCUCGACUUGCAUGUGUUAGGCCUCGCCGCCACGCGUUCAAUCUGAGCCAUGAUACAACUACUGA
rnacentral:rRNA from 1 species